rfam:Brachypodium distachyon strain Bd21 chromosome 4, whole genome shotgun sequence.
GUCCUACUUCUUCCGUCCAACAAAAGAUGUCUUAAGUUUGUCAAAAUUUGAAUGUAUUUAGACAUGACGGUGUAUAGAUGCAUUUAAAUUUAGUCAAAGUUGAGACAUCCUUUUGUUGGACGGAGGGAGUAGUUU